rnacentral:lncRNA from 1 species
GGUCGGGUUCGUGUUGCUUAUUCUAUAGUUUUAUGUGUUGUGUUAUGUGUACUAUUGUUUGUCUGUUUAUCUUUUUUCGUUUUUAGCCAUGGCGUUGUAUUUUCGAUUUAUGAGUUUGACUGUCCCUCUGGUAUCUUUCGGUUCUCUUCUAUAUCCAUCAUUGGAAGACGUGCGUUUUACAAAUAAAGUACUUGCUCAGCCUC